GACGAACGCUGGCGGCGUACCUAAUACAUGCAAGUCGAACGCAGUUGGGACGGGUUAGUAACACGUGGGUAACCUCCCAUCAGAGGGGAUAACACUUGGAAACAGGUGCUAAACCGAUACUGAUGGAUGGACCCUCGGUGCAUUAGCCAGUUGGGGAGGUAACGGCUCCCCAAGGCCACGAUGCAUCGCCGACCGGAGAGGAUGAGCGGCCACACUGGGACGGAGACACGGCCCAGACUCCUACGGGAGGCAGCAGUAGGGAAUCUUCGGCAAUGGACGAAAGUCUGACCGAGCAACGCCGCGUGAGUGAAGAAGGUUUUCGGAUCGUAAAACUCUGUUGUGAGAGAAGCGGUAUCUAACCAGAAAGCCACGGCUAACUACGUGCCAGCAGCCGCGGUAAUAC
rnacentral:rRNA from 1 species